GGGAAACAAGACCUUGAGUCCAGGAAAUCCUCACCUACUUCAUGGACUUGGGCCUCAUACAAUCUGAGGAGAUGGAGUUCUUGUUUCUUUGAAUGUUCCAGGUGGGACAAUCUGACCAGGUAAGUACAUAACAAAUGAAGGCUAAUUUAUUUGCCAAUUUGGUUUAUUUUAAGUUGAGAUUGAUAACGUUGUAUAUCUAGGUUUGAUAGGAGGAAUCCAGUGGAUGUAUGACCUUUUUUCUUGGGUCAUAUUGAGUCUGUGAUGUCACAUAGACUGGAUCCCAAAUGAAAGCUUUGGAGCAGCGGUUGUUUUUUCUUCUUUUUUUUUCUACAGUUGUAAAUAGUUUUUUUAUGUAUGUAUAUAUUUAAAAUAGUUUCAUGUAAGAAUAUAGUUUAAUAUAUGUUUCAUGUAUGUAUAUAUGUAUAAUAGUUUGAUAUUUAUGACAAGUUGAUCAUCGUGGCAAAGCCAUGUUUCACUUGUGAGAUUAAAUCUGUCAGGCCUUACAUUGACACUCAGGCAACAACCCUGAGUGCCACACGGCCGGACAGGACACAUGUAAAUAAAAAAAGAUAGUUUUUAUUGCAGAGAUAUCAAGUUCUGAAAUUUAUUGUAUUCUUUAAAUGUUGUAAUUUUGGUUCAUUGUAAUCUUUACUUGUAAAAAGUUUGUAGAAAUCUUUAAUUUGACUUCAAUAUAUAUUUUUAAACUGUGA